rnacentral:rRNA from 1 species
UGGGGAAUAUUGGACAAUGGGCGAAAGCCUGAUCCAGCCAUGCCGCGUGUGUGAAGAAGGUCUUCGGAUUGUAAAGCACUUUAAGUUGGGAGGAAGGGCAGUAAGCGAAUACCUUGCUGUUUUGACGUUACCGACAGAAUAAGCACCGGCUAACUCUGUGCCAGCAGCCGCGGUAAUACAGAGUGUGCAAGCGUUAAUCGGAAUUACUGGGCGUAAAGCGCGCGUAGGUGGUUCGUUAAGUUGAAUGUGAAAGCCCCGGGCUCAACCUGGGAACUGCAUCCACAACUGGCGAGCUAGAGUAGGGCAGAGGGUGGUGGAAUUUCCUGUGUAGCGGUGAAAUGCGUAGAUAUAGGAAGGAACACCAGUGGCGAAGGCGACCACCUGGGGUCAUACUGACACUGAGGUGCGAAAGCGUGGGGAGCAAACAGG